CGAAAGCGUGACGCAGCAACGCCGCGUGGGGGAAGAAGGCCUUCGGGUUGUAAACCCCUUUCAGGAGGGACGAAGGUGCGGCGGCGAACAGCCGUCCGUACUGACGGUACCUCCAGAAGAAGCCCCGGCUAACUACGUGCCAGCAGCCGCGGUAAUACGUAGGGGGCAAGCGUUGUCCGGAAUCAUUGGGCGUAAAGCGCGCGUAGGCGGCCCGGUAAGUCCGCUGUGAAAGUCCAGGGCUCAACCCUGGAAAGCCGGUGGAUACUGUCGGGCUCGAGUCCGGAAGAGGCGAGUGGAAUUCCUGGUGUAGCGGUGGAAUGCGCAGAUAUCAGGAGGAACACCGAUAGCGAAGGCAGCUCGCUGGGACGGUACUGACGCUGAGGCGCGAAAGCGUGGGGAGCAAACAGGAUUAGAUACCCUGGUAGUCCACGCCGUAAACGAUGGGCACUAGGUGUGGGAGGUGUCGACUCCUCCCGUGCCGGCGCUAACGCAUUAAGUGCCCCGCCUGGGGAGUACGGCCGCAAGGCUA
rnacentral:rRNA from 1 species